UAAGGUUUUUCUAAUAACGGCUUUGUUACUAUUUCUUGAUUUCUCUCUCUCACAAGGCUAUAAGUGUAUGCCAUUUCUGACUUGUUGGUCAUUGGAAAACAGCGGCGAGGGCAUCCCAGAUUUACUGUUACUGCUGGUCCAGUGGGCUCCGAAGACAAUGAUUAAAAGACUUACAUACAACGAGAAACUGCAGUGUACUGUUUAGGAGGUUAAAGUGGUUGAAGGACAUGGGACCACAAUUGAUGUGGUAUUAGUAAACGGCAUGCUUCAUGAAGGCGAUCAAAUAGUGGUCUGUGGCAUAUGCAGGGACCAAUUGUUACCUCAAUUAGGCAAUGCUAACACCCCACCCCAUGAGGGAGCUGAGAGUCAAGGUGAAACUUUUUACUCUUCUAUUACUAGAAUAAUUGGUUUGCACUUUUGGGACAAACUAUUCUUACUAUCGCCCAAGCUUCCUAGAGUUUACUCUGUUUUCCUGAAAAUAAAUGUAAACUUGGUGUAGUAUUUUGCUUUGGAUGCAUUUUUGCAAAAGAUGUCAUCCUGUUAUGGUGUUGUGAUCAAAGCAUA